rnacentral:rRNA from 1 species
GACGAACGCUGGCGGCGUGCCUAAUACAUGCAAGUUGAGCGCUGAAGGUUGGUACUUGUACCGACUGGAUGAGCAGCGAACGGGUGAGUAACGCGUGGGGAAUCUGCCUUUGAGCGGGGGACAACAUUUGGAAACGAAUGCUAAUACCGCAUAAAAACUUUAAACACAAGUUUUAAGUUUGAAAGAUGCAAUUGCAUCACUCAAAGAUGAUCCCGCGUUGUAUUAGCUAGUUGGUGAGGUAAAGGCUCACCAAGGCGAUGAUACAUAGCCGACCUGAGAGGGUGAUCGGCCACAUUGGGACUGAGACACGGCCCAAACUCCUACGGGAGGCAGCAGUAGGGAAUCUUCGGCAAUAGACGAAAGUCUGACCGAGCAACGCCGCGUGAGUGAAGAAGGUUUUCGGAUCGGAAAACUCGGUUGGUAGAGAAGAACGUUGGUGAGAGUGGAAAGCUCAUCAAGUGACGGUAACUACCCAGAAAGGGACGGCUAACUACGUG